AUUGAACGCUGGCGGCAUGCUUUACACAUGCAAGUCGAGCGGCAGCGCGGGGGCAACCCUGGCGGCGAGCGGCGAACGGGUGAGUAAUGCAUCGGAACGUACCCUGGAGUGGGGGAUAACGCCGCGAAAGCGGCGCUAAUACCGCAUAUGCUCUGAGGAGGAAAGUGGGGGACCGCAAGGCCUCACGCUCUGGGAGCGGCCGAUGUCCGAUUAGCUAGUUGGUGAGGUAAAGGCUUACCAAGGCGACGAUCGGUAGCUGGUCUGAGAGGAUGAUCAGCCACACUGGGACUGAGACACGGCCCAGACUCCUACGGGAGGCAGCAGUGGGGAAUUUUGGACAAUGGGGGCAACCCUGAUCCAGCCAUGCCGCGUGAGUGAAGAAGGCCUCGGUGUAAGCUCUUUGGUCGGAGAAGUGCCUGCUAAUAC
rnacentral:rRNA from 1 species